AGGAGCUGGAUGAGAAGAAACUCUCACGUUCAGUUCUGUAGUAGAGAUGAAAUUUCUAAUUUAGAAAAAAUCCAUCAACUAUAAC
rnacentral:ncRNA from 1 species